AACCUUAUGGACCUGCGGGCGUAUACCUGCGGAAGGAUCAUUACCGAGUGAGGGCCCUCCGGGUCCAACCUCCCACCCGUGUUUAACGAACCUUGUUGCUUCGGCGGGCCCGCCUCACGGCCGCCGGGGGGCACCCCGCCCCCGGGCCCGCGCCCGCCGAAGACACCUGUGAACGCUGUCUGAAGUUGCAGUCUGAGACACUAGCUCAAUCAGUUAAAACUUUCAACAAUGGAUCUCAGA
rnacentral:misc_RNA from 1 species